AUUGAACGCUGGCGGCAUGCCUUACACAUGCAAGUCGAACGGCAGCACGGGAGCAAUCCUGGUGGCGAGUGGCGAACGGGUGAGUAAUGUAUCGGAACGUACCUUUCAGUGGGGGAUAACGUAGCGAAAGUUACGCUAAUACCGCAUAUUCUGUGAGCAGGAAAGCAGGGGAUCGCAAGACCUUGCGCUGAUUGAGCGGCCGAUAUCAGAUUAGCUAGUUGGUGAGGUAAAGGCUCACCAAGGCGACGAUCUGUAGCGGGUCUGAGAGGAUGAUCCGCCACACUGGAACUGAGACACGGUCCAGACUCCUACGGGAGGCAGCAGUGGGGAAUUUUGGACAAUGGGCGCAAGCCUGAUCCAGCCAUUCCGCGUGCAGGAUGAAG
rnacentral:rRNA from 1 species